rnacentral:rRNA from 1 species
UACGUAGGGUGCGAGCGUUGUCCGGAAUUACUGGGCGUAAAGAGCUCGUAGGUGGUUUGUCGCGUUGUUCGUGAAAUCUCACGGCUUAACUGUGAGCGUGCGGGCGAUACGGGCAGACUUGAGUACUGCAGGGGAGACUGGAAUUCCUGGUGUAGCGGUGGAAUGCGCAGAUAUCAGGAGGAACACCGGUGGCGACGGCGGGUCUCUGGGCAGUAACUGACGCUGAGGAGCGAAAGCGUGGGGAGCGAACAGG